AUAAAAUCAGGAUAUUAGAGUGACUAACGGCCUUUCACGCCGUCAACAGGGGUUCAAAUCCCCUUGGGGACGCCA
rnacentral:tRNA from 1 species